GAAGUGGACUGGACGGUCGCUGCUGUGGAGGUCUUCGUGACUGAAACAGGGGAGGAAAGUCCGGGCUUCAUAGGGCAGGGUGCCAGGUAACGCCUGGGCGGUGAAAGCCGACGGAAAGUGCAGCAGAGAGUAGACCGCCUCAUUCGUGAGGUAAGGGUGAAAGGGUGCGGUAAGAGCGCACCGCGUGUCUGGUAACAGUUCACGGCAUGGUAAACCCCACCAGAAGCAAGACCAAAUAGGAAUCCUGAGGUACGGCCCGUACUGGAUUCGGGUAGGUCGCUUGAGCGUAUGAGUGAUUGUACGCCUAGAGGAAUGAUCGUCCUCGACAGAACCCGGCUUACAGGUCCACUUCACCA
rnacentral:RNase_P_RNA from 17 species